rnacentral:lncRNA from 1 species
UACCAAGGCUGGUGGUAUUGAUUUCUCUCUGUGUAACUAACUGAAUUUCCAUCUGUUAUCACUUUUCUGCAGUCUGAAGAACUUCCUUUCGCAUUUCUUGGAGUGAGAAUCUGCUGGGUUUGAAUUCUCUUAGCUUUCUUUUAUCCAGAAAUUUAUUUAAACCUCUCUUAUUGAAGGAUAUUUUCACUGGCUGUAGAAGCCUAGGCUGACAGUUUUCUCUCUGUGAUUUUUACAUCUCAUUUGAUUGUUUUCCAACCACCACUGUUUUUCAUGGUAGUAGUUAUUUGUAAUUCUUAUCUUUGUGCCCUGAUACACAAUGUAUCUUUCUUUUCCUCUGAAUGCUUUAUGAUUUAUCUUUGAUUUUUAGUAUUUUGACUAUGAUAUAGCCAGGUAUGAUUUUCUUGAUCGUUAAUACCCCUCAUCAAUUUUGGAAAAUUCUCAGCUACUAUUGCUUCAAUUUUCCCCCCAUUCUCUCUUUCCUACAUCUCCAUUUUUCACUAUGCUAGAACACUUUAUAUUCCCCACAAGUCAGUAAGGCUUUGUUUAUUUUUUAUUUCAAAAAUUUUCUUCACAGUAAGCAAUUUGUGAAAAUUUCUCUUAAGCUAUUUUCAAAGUCAUUGAUGCUUUCUUCUAUAGUGUUCAAUUUGCUGUUAAGCUUACCCAGGGGACCUUUUAUUUCAGAUUUUGUAUUUCUCAGCUUAGUAUUUACAAUGGCUCUUUCUUAAAAUCAUUUCUAUGUAUUGACUAAGAUUCGUUAUCUCAUACAUCAUAUUAUUCAUGCUUUAUUUCACAUCCCUAUGCAUAUUUUAAAAUCUUUCUAUGCUAAUCAUAACAUCUGGGUCAUGUCAAGGUCUGUUUCCAUUUUUUUCCCUUGAUUCUUUGAAGGUUUAGUAAUUUUUUAUUGCAUGCUAGACAUUGUGGAUGAUACAUUAUAGGGAAAAUUGAUUAUGUUGUCUCCCUUUAAAGGGUGAUGAUUUUUGUUUUAGGAGCAGUUAUGUAUUUGGUAGGUCUUGAUGUAGUCAGAUUUUGUUUUAGGGUUUCUCAGAAUGGUCUCUUAGUAUUUUUGUCCUAAGUCUUAGGGAAAGCCCUUUACUCUAGGACACAAAGCAUAUGAAGACAGGGCCUUUCUAGGGUCUCAAUGUAAUGCUUAUGUUUUGUUUUCAGUGAGGAUUGUCCACCCCAGCUGGGCUGCAAUCCCAAUGUUUACAAACUCUUUUGACCUCUGAUAUCUCUGUUCAGCUCUCAGCCUCCAAGCAGCAGAAUUCAAAGAGUCAGGCUCUGUACAUGUACUUCUUAGUUUUUGGUCCAGGCUCUGAGGGAAUCUGCACCUAGUUUUCUUGGGCCCCAGCUCUAUAUAACUCCCCCUUUCUCUGGCCAUGCCUCCAAAAAAUUCUAGCUGCCUUCACAACACAUUCUGGGGAGUUCCCAUUGUGGCUCAGUGGUUAACGAAUCGACUAGGAACCAUGAGGUUGCAGGUUUGAUCCCUGGCCUUGUUCAGUGGGUUAAGGAUCCAGCAUUGCCGUGAGCUGUAGUAUAGGUUGCAGACAUGGCUCGGAUCCUGCAUUGCUGUGGCUCUGGUGUAAGCUGGUGGCUACAGCUCCGAUUCGACCCCUAGCCUGGGAACCUCCAUAUGCCAUGGGAGUUUUGCCAUGAAUGCUUACAGAAUUAUAUCAACUACUCUCUUAUCGUAUAUUGUUAUAAUCCCAUCUCUUCCCCUUAAUUUACUAAUGGAAUAAAUUAUGUUGAUAAAAUUCCUAAUACCCAUUCUUAGAUUUCUGAAAUAAAUUCUUACUUCAUACACCCUUUUUAAAGCCCUUAACAUUUAAAUUAACAAAACAGAAUAAGAAGCUUUAAAACAUAGGGUGCUUAAAUAAAAAAAGGGAAAAUACUUAAGUUUCAGUCACGUUAUCUUACUUCAGCAUAUAAACGCAAGUCAUUUAACAGUUUUUUUUUGUUUGUUUUUUGGGUUUUUUUUUUUUGGUAUUUUGUCUUUUUAGGGCUGCACCUGUGGUGUAUGGAGGUUCCCAUGCUAGGGGUCUAAUCAGAGCCAUUGCUGCCGUCCAACACCAGAACCACAGCAACACCAGGUCCGAGCCACAUCUGCUACCUACACCACAGCUCACGGCAAUGCCAGAUCCUUAACCCACUGAGCGAGGCCAGGGAUUGAACCCGCAACCUCAUGGUUCCUAGUCAGAUUCAUUUCUGCUGCGCUACGACGGAACUCCAUCAGUUAAUAGUUGAAAGAAGUUUAUACUGCAUUUCUCUACUUGUGCUUCUAAGACAAUUACAUUCAGCUUUAUUGUGGUAUAAUGUAUGACAAUUGCACAUUAAAGACUGAGUUGAUACUGUGAAGUGAAAAGAAUUUCAAAUCCUACCUCUGCCAUUUAUGAACCAAGUGAGCUUCUCUGAGCUUCUCUGUAAAAUGGGAUAAAAAUCACACCUACCCUGCAAGGUUACUCUGAGCGUGAAAUGUAGUGGUGGGUGAUGGUAUGCUUUGUAAGUGGUAAGCUAUUGUUGGUGGCUUUUUUUUCUUUUUUUUUUCUUUUUUUCCAGAAUCACUCUAUGGUAUUUCUCCCACCCCACCCCCCUUUUUUCCUCUCUUCAAAAAUUAACAUUUUAGGAUUUUUUUUUUUUAAGCAGUUUAAAGUUCACAGCAAAACUGAGAGAAAGGUACAGAGAUUUUUCCAUAUAUUUCCUGCCCCCUCACAUGCACAGUCUCCCCCAUUAUCAACUUCCCCCACCAGAGUGGAGCAUUUGUUACAUUCAAUAGACCUACAUUGAUACAUCAUCAUCACCCAGAGUCCAUAGUUUACACUAGGGUUCACCCUGGGUGUUAUGCAGUCUAUGGGUUUGAAUAAACAUAAAGUGACAUGCAUCCACAGAGUAUCAUAACAGAGUAUUUUCGCUGCUCUGGAAAAUCCUCUGUACUCUGUCUAGUCAUUUCUCUCCCCAAAGCCCUGAUAACCACUGUCCCAUGGUUUUGCCAUGGCUGUUCUUUACUACCAGUGGUCCCCAAGGAGGGCAGAGCUGACGUGCGACAGUCCCUGCUCAGGAACAGGUUGUGGGAAGAUUGACCCUGUUGUCACUGCCCAGCCCUGGAUUCACUGUCCUGGCUGCUGGGCAGGCCCCCCGAGGGUCCUAUUGCUGUUUGGGGAGGCAUAAAAUGAAAGAAGAAAUCACACUCUCGUUUCCUAAAAAAGAAGGAAAACAAGGAAAAGGGCAGAGAAAUUCAUUUGUCCCUGAGGAGAAAAAGAGGAAAGAAACUAAGGAAAUUAAUUUCUGAAGACUGGGACUGUAGAAACGACAGAGUUCUCACCCUGCUUCCAGUAUUCCAGGGAGGACUAGUUCAUUGUUUUUUCUAAAGGAACAAUGGGAAAUGACUUAUACACUCCAGUUCAACUGCCUUCACAUUUAACCACAUCUUUAGAGGUAGGCUUGGAAAUCUAGCCACCUAAAGAUUUCUGGGUUGUUUGUUUUUGUUUGUUUGUUUGUUUUAAACAAGUGCAUUGUAGAUUAAACAAACAAAAAUCUUGCAAAGACAUUUUGUAACUUAAUUCACCUUUCUGUCUUUACCCAAAUCCUUCAUAUACACCUCAUCAGCCUAAGCUCCAAACGCCUAAACAUGUGAUGGCAAUGCUUAUGAAAGGGUCUAUGUGGAAGGGAGCUAUUGAAUGGCUGGAGAAUGGCGAUCAAACAUCAGGACACAUUGCAGAGGAAAGCAGCUGUUCUGUUUGGGAAAGCCACGGAGAUGCUUUGGAAUGGUCUUUGAGGAGCCGUCACCAACCUCUAGUGGAGCGUCAUAUACACAGGGCUGCCCUAACACCAGACAGUAAGAAUAAUGGAGAAUUUCAGAGUUGAUAAUAUUCUAAAGAAAACCCUAUUAACCUAUUCUUAGCUAAGGGGCCAAAGUUUUACAUGUACCAAAAUGUAUUAAACAAAUGUGAACAUACACUCUCAACUUCUAACUCUGGGCAAUGAAACUAUUAAGUUGCAAUAUUAGGAUUUAAGUACAUCCACUUGAAUAAUUUAAUUUUUGUUUCAGAUAGGUUAAAUUCCUGUAAUUUCCCUUUUUUUUUCUUUUGAAUUUAAAUCCUAGUUCACCUAGAAUUUUUGGUAUUCUGAGAGAUCUGAUUUGCCUAAAAUAGAUGUAAAGAGAAACCCUCUGUAUGGAUAACCAGAACAGAUCAUGUUCAAUGGCAAAACAUCCCCCUGGUUCAGCUCUAUAACCCUGCAGACAGGUAGGAGAGAAGCUGGGUUGGAGGGCAGCUAUCUGUUGAUGGCAUGGUAGAUCUUCUGCCUCUCAUUUGUAAUGUGAUCUAUUUGUUUGGUAGCCGAGUUUGUUGUUUUUCAGGAAAAAUACUACAGGGAUAAACAUAUGCUUCCAUGUUGCUAUUCUUUUGGCUUCCACAAUCCAGGAUAUAGGCCUGCUUACUAUUCCAUUUGUCUCCUCUGGGAGACUCACAAUAGACUUGUUAAGUUGCAUUAGCUUGGGUAGAUGCAAAGAAAACUCAGGGACUCUUUAAAAGCAAU